rnacentral:rRNA from 1 species
AGCGAACGCUGGCGGCAGGCCUAACACAUGCAAGUCGAACGGCAGCACAGUAGGUGUCUGCUCCUACGGGUGGCGUGUCGCGGGCGGGCGUGGCCUACAUCUGGAUCUAACUCUUCGUGGCGGGUACUGUUGCGGAACUCACGCUAAUACCGCAAACGUUCUAUGCGUGAAAAUCGGCGCUCUUCUGAUCUUGCGCGUUGUAAUGAGCCGACGUCGGAUUAGCUAGUUGGCGGGGUAAUGGCACACCAAGGCCGCGCACCGUAGCUGGUCUGAGAGGAUGAUCAGCCACACUGGAACUGAGACACGGUCCAGACUCCGACGGGAGGCAGCAGUGGGGAAUAUUGGACAAUGGGGGCAAGCCUGAUCCAGCCAUACCGCGUGGGUGAAGAAGGCCUUCGGGUUGUAAAGCCCUUUUGUUGGGAAAGAAAAGCAGCAGGUUAAUACCCCGCUGUUCUGACGGUACCCAAAGAAUAAGCACCGGCUAACUUCGUG